rnacentral:antisense_RNA from 1 species
UUGACUUUGAUAUGUUUAUAUUAUAGAUAUAAUACAUAAAACAUCUAGGGUGAGACUCUACGUUCUCCCCAAAAGAAGAGAACCAAGCCGUCCUUCCCUGCUCCCAGCCCCAGUGAUGCGUUGGCGGGAGGCCACCUCCCUUCCCGACCAGAAGCCAGGGCCUCUGGGGGACAAGCCUUGUGGGCAGCCCAGGCCGGAGGGGCUGGGGAAAGCUGAGGGCAAAGGAGAACCCCCCUCACCUCAUUGGUCCCCCAGGAUCAAAAGUAAUCCCAAAACCAAAAGGAAAGAGUCUCAGACCCUUCCCCCAGCUGCCGACGGAGAGUCUCAUUUUGGCAAGUAUCCGAGCAAAACCAAAACAAAACAAAAACCAAAUAAAAUGGUGGUUUAGCAAAGACGCGCACAUUCACAUUGCACAAGGCACUGCUGGGGCACAGAGGCCAGAUACAAGUGUUGAUAUCGGCUGAUAAAGCAAAAUAUUUGGAAAGCUUGUCAUAACUCCGGUCCCUCUGGGAUGGACUGAUCGUGCUUUGUGUUCCUAGGCACAAGGUUAUCCUUAAUACUAGAGUUGCUGGGCUCCCAGCUCAGCCCCAAGAAUUCUCCCCUCCUCGCAGGGAGAAGCCACCGCCUGGCCCCCUCAUCUUAGACGCACCAAGUCCC